AUUGCUUAAAGUUAGGAGGGCUCAAUUGCCACUUGUCAUAUUAUAUAAGUAGUCUUUUGCAAUUAAAUCAAAAGCCAAAAAUUAGAAAAGAAACUCAAAUAACCAACCGUUGAAUGUCGCUGGGUUGUAGCACUACGGGCUCCAGGAGAAAAAAAUGAGGCAUUUCAGCUUCUCUUUGGUCUGGUUAGCACAUUAGCCUUUUAAUGCAAGUUGUUGCUUCAAAGGUGCCCUUCAGGAGUCUCCACACAAAGUUUUAUGAUUUUGAAAGAUACAAGUCGAGCACAUAACAAGUGAAAUCUCUUGUACAACAAAAAGAACAAGAAUAUAAAUGCUAAAUUCAACAGUGUGGCAUCUUGAUCGAUGAUGUCUGAUGCAUUUGAGGUGGGAAUUGCAGGCAACCUUUCCUCGGGUUUCAUUGUAUCUCAUCAUCUUGUAUGUGGGAGACACCAGGUAUUUCAGUGGAGAGGAGAUAAUCUUGAAUUCCUAGGUUAAAUAUUUCGUCCUAUUCACUUCAUAAUCGAGUUAGAUAAGUCCUUUUUUCCUUUUCGACUUGGAGGAGUUAUGCAGAGUUUGUUAAGACAAUAUCCAAAUGCUUCAUGACAAUUGCUCCUUGUAAAUAUUUCUGAUUAUGUAGGACAAUUUGAAGUCUCCAGCAUCUGCUUGUCGUCAUUAACUUUGAUGCUUAGUUCAAACCAUCUUAGAGAUAGUUAUCAGGUAAUCAUGUUCUUAUAGACUAAAACCAAAAAGCAAAUUAUUGAUUUGAAUAAUGUUGCUUGGUCAUGGUUAAAGGAUCAAAACAUGAUGAAUUUUUUGGCAUUCUUUCUUGUUACAAUUCUUUUGCCCCAUGUGGAUGAUGUAGACUUGUUAUUAUGUUUUCUUGUGUAGUACUUAAAUCAUUUUACUCCUUUGGUUGGUUUGAGUGGGAUGGAUGGCUCAAGAAGGAUAUGACAUAUUUGUUCCUCUUAUACGUAAGUUUCUGGUGAUGUGCACUAAUUAAAUCUUGACUUGAUGAUUAGACAUUUUUUAGUCAAGAAUAUGGUACACACACAAAAAAAAGCUUGAAAGCAAAGCCUUGAAUGUAUUUGAUCAAGAAUCUGGCUAUGCCUAACAUCAUUUCAGCUAGGUAGAACCUAGCCUAAGAAUUUGGGAGUGUUUCUUUUAUGGAUUCUUUGUUGAUUAACAUUGUAUAUUUGUACAAUAUAUCACAUUUACAUGAAGCUUAAAAGAGUGUAAAGCUGAAUUGGGACCACCAUGAAAAUACUUUUAGGAAUUUCUUUUCAAAACUUUUUUGACCACUUGAACCUCAAAACUCUGAUUCUUUUUCUUUUUUCCUUUCUCUGAAAGGCCAUUUUGAUGGAGAGUGACUUGACCACUUUUUCUUCAGAGGAUAGUUUUUCAUUUUCAAAGACAACAUACCUGUGUAAUCCCACCAAAUGGGGUCUGGGGAGGGUACGAUGUAUGCAUACCUAACCUCUACCUUAGAGGUAGAGCGAUUGUUUCCAAUAGACCCUCGGCUUCAAGAUAAAAACACUCUAUACAAGAAGUACCGGAGAUUUUCAUUUUCAUUGAAAAUUUUAUUUAAAGAUAUCCGAAUAUAUUUCAGGGUGGUUUUGUGGAUUAGAAUUCCAAUGAAAGCCACUGCACCAUACAUUUAUCCAUCAGAGAAUGACAAGUACUAAAGAGAAGAUUGAGGGGGAGGGAAGAGUUUUCUUUUUCUUUCCUUUUGAGUUCUACAGUUGAAAUGAUUAGAAGAUUCCCUCUUUUUUUCACAAAGCUUUAUAUCAUCAAUGAGUUUUUAGAUGCUGUGCUUUGUGUUUAUCAUUUCAGUAGUGGGUGAAGCUAUUGGAUUAUUGAACUUUUUCAUCUUUUCUUUAUAGGAAAGGUGAAGAGAAAAAAAGAAUUUGGAGUGAUAUGUUGGAGACCAUCACUGGCAUUGACCAACGUUACCUCAACAUCACUGAAUCUUGAACCAUUCUUAGAGUAGUGAAUAAGGUGGAUGAUUUUGACAACCUCGAAAAAGAUUGAAAAACAAACAUUAAAAGUAGGAACUUUUAUUACACAUGUCCACUAAGGAGAAAUUUAAGUCUUAUGUACGAGGAAAUCCAAAGGCGAAUCUAGAAUCUACGGUUUAAAUUCUAUGUAUAUAUUUUCAUGUAUAAAGAUAGUUCGAGAUGAAGUUUAACUACAGAACUCACCCUUGUGAUAACGCUCAAUUGAACCUUCGUUAAAAAGUAAAACAAUGGUCAUAUACUCAUCAUAAUAAAAAUCAAAGUGUUUCAUGUUGAA